rnacentral:lncRNA from 1 species
GGUUGUCUCUUAGCUCUGUUGGUGGUUUCUUUUGCAGUGCAGAAGAUUUUAAAUAUGAUGAGAUCUUCUGUGAUUUUAUUUAGUGAAACUUGACUCUGAAAAGAGCAUUCCCCCUUAGUUUACUAUGCAUCUCCCUCUUAAGACAUAUGUGCUCCUUUGUAGAACCUGUUUUUAAAUUAAUUUUUUGAGAUAUUGGGAAGUAGUCCUGCUCCAAGACCAUCUAUGGCUCCCCAUCACCUUCAGGGCACAUUCUUUAGCCUUCUGUACAAGGCAUUGUAGCAUCAGCCCUUGCCUUACCAUGUGUCACUCCAUGUCUUCUGCCCAGGUCACAGUGACCAUAGAACCUGGAUUCCUGGGACUCAUAUCUUCUCCUGAGCUGUUUCUCCAUGAAUUUCUCUGUUAAUUGUAGUCUUUGGCUCCUUAGGCAAUCUAUUCCAGCAAUCACUCUUAGAAGAAGGCAUCUUCCUUCCCCUGAAAUCCUCCUGGAGCUGGCAUGGGGGCCUAGGAGGAACUCAGGUUGGGGAUCCAGCUCAUUCAGUUCUUCUGUAUCUCAUGAGGAUUAUUAGAUAUGGAACCAUGGCCAGCUGUUGAAGGGUGAGCACACCCCCACAGAAGAGGAGGCAUGAUCAAAAUUGGGUGAAUGUUGCUGUCACGUGCUAUCCAACAGAAAAGCAGGCUCAUAAAAACAUUACUGUGUAUCCUUAUCCACCUUAUUCACUGGAUUUGGCACUAUGAAACUUCUGCCUUUUCCCCAAAGUCAAAAUGACAAUGAAAGGUAAUUAUUUUGAACCAAUUCAGAACAUCAAGGCAACCACAGUGGCACAACUAGAAGUGUCAAGAAUGAUGGAAUAAGUGUGUUUGAAGUGAGGGGCAAUAAUUUGAAAUGGGUUAAAAGCAAUACAUCUUUAAUUGUAAUAAAUUCUUAAAAAAAGUAAACGCUUACUUGUUUUUGAUCAUUCUGUGUAGAUGAUGAGAGGCAAGUAGAUGGAUAUGUGCAACCCUCCAACUCUGAGGUCUCUAGAGAACCAAUUUUGAAACUCAUCACUUUUUCCAGUUUAAUUUCUCUGUUGUCAAUUUUUGGUCAGGCCAUGGUCAAGGCACUUACAUUCCUUUCCUCUCUAGUAAGGUUUAUCUGAGUGAGAAAAUGUGGUCUUCUCAAUAAGAGGUAAACCUGAUUCUAUUUAUCAAUUCUGUAAAGGAGCUAUAAUGAAAUGCCAGUUUGAAAGAGUUUCACAUAGACCCUGAGGCAAUGUCCCCUUUCAGAGAGAAGUCUCUUAGGCUGGGCAAGUUCUGUCUCUCUCACACAGGGGUCACAGGAAGCAGUCUAUUGAGUUGGAGGUGGUAUCUAUCUUUAUUCUCAUCUGAUCAAUACUGCAUAUCUGUUUUUGAUAAUUUUUAAUAGUGUCAUUUGUUUAUUUAUUGAUUCAUUUAGCCAGGCCUUACAGAGCAUACGAUUUUUGAUGCUAAAGGUACACACAGAAUAAGACAGAUGAGGUCUCAGUUCCCAUGAAGAUUUCAUUCCAUUUGGAGAAACAGGUCAUAGUCAAGGAAGCAAAUAACAAGGUAAGUUUUGAUGACAUUAGGGAAGCCCUGUCUAAGGAAUGGCAUUUGAAGGGCACCAGAUGGAUGAGCUGGUCAGUUCUGUAAAGUGCAGUAGGAGAAUGGAGAAUGGAGUCAGCUGUGGAAUCAGCAAUGAAUGGGUCCUAAGGAUGCAUUUUUGAGGACUAGAAGAAAGGUUGGGGUAUUGGCUCAAAGAGCCGAGGGGAGGCGAUAGGAGAUAAGACUGUGGAGGCUACAGAGACCAGAUCAGGUAGAACUUCUUAGGCUAUGAAAAAUUUUGCUCUAAGUAUGCUGGGAAGUUACUGAAAGCUUUAAAGCAGGGGGCAUGAACUGCCCAGGGAGCUGAUUAGACUGAUUUGACUGAUUUGUUACCUCAAAAGAUACCUCUGGCUGCUAUGUGGAGAGCAGAUGGUUGGAAGACAAAGAGAAGGAGUUUAGUGGGGAAGGUAUUGCAGUUGAUUGUCCCCAUGGGAAGGGGAUUGAGGCUGAGGCCACAAUGAUGAUGGUGAUCACUAGCUUUCAAGCUUCUCUUUUGUGGGCUUAGCUGGGUGACACAUACCACAAGUCUAGAAGGACUCUUUAAUUAAUUCUGCCAUCCAUUGCUUACCCUAGCUACCAUUAUAGCUAUUUUCAAAACCUAAGAAGUGUGGAUAGAGUAUAUCUUUUUAUUAUUCAAGCUAUAAGUUUGAUUUCUCUUAUUAGUUAAUUUCAUUGUUGUUGUUUUCAUCAAUUAGAUUAUUGACUAAUGAAUGAUUUGCAUUAUCUUUGGGGAGAUUCAAUCAUGGAAACAGGAUGGACAAAUGGACAUUACUCCAGACAUUCAGGUGAGUCUAAGUCUAACUGCUAAGAUCCAAGAUAUCUAGGUAUUGGGAAAUAUUCACAGAAGGUUGAACUGCAUUUUUGAAAGGAUAAAAAAGUAUGACAUGUUUAGAAAAAGCCAAAUAGUUUAUUGUUCCCAGAAUACAUUUGACAUGGUAGGGGUAUUGUCAGGAGAUGAGAAGAGAGAGGCUUUGGUAGAUAGGAUUGGCCAGCAAGCAAAGGGCUAAUGAAGGCUAUUCAGUAGCACAAAGGAGGGACACGCUCAAAUGUAAGCUUUAGAAAGAUACCUUGGCUAUAGGGAAGAGAGUGGAUUGGAGACAAUGAGGCUGGAGGCAAGGAACAUGAUUAGGAGACUAACGCCAUAGUCCUAGGCUGCAGCUAUCAGUCCCCAGACUUAGGUCCAGGAGUGGCUACGGAGGGAC